rnacentral:rRNA from 1 species
UACGAAGGGGGCUAGCGUUGUUCGGAUUUACUGGGCGUAAAGCGCACGUAGGCGGAUUGUUAAGUCGGGGGUGAAAUCCUGGAGCUCAACUCCAGAAUUGCCUUCGAUACUGGCUUUCUAGAGGCUUGAAGAGGUUAGUGGAAUUCCCAGUGUAGAGGUGAAAUUCGUAGAUAUUGGGAAGAACACCAGUGGCGAAGGCGGCUAACUGGUCCAGAUCUGACGCUGAGGUGCGAAAGCGUGGGGAGCAAACAGG